rnacentral:sRNA from 1 species
UAGUUGUCACUCCAGACCAUGCCCUAACUUCCUGAAAAAACGCUGGUUAAACGUUUGCCUACGCUACCCCCUUGCGGCAACGAAAACGUUGCAUCAGGCCGGGAAAAGCCAGUUCGGCUGGAAGGAGAGGGGGGUAAUGGCCGGUACAUAAUAAAUUAGCCGAGAAUUUUGGCCGAUCUUGCGCAAAAGGGGAAGAGGGAAAACGCAUAUCAGACUAAAUCAAAGAGGAUUUUUGCGUUGGACUAUGUAAAAAUGAAGCGCACCCGCUUUUUGUAGGGUUAAAAAGGAGAACAAAUGAGUACCGAACUGAAAUUUUCGCUGGUCACCACCGUCGUUGUGCUGGGUCUGAUUGUGGCUUCGGCGCUGACGGCGGUAAUGCACUGAUUC